rnacentral:rRNA from 1 species
CGUCAAGUCAUCAUGCCCUUUAUGACCUGGGCUACACACGUGCUACAAUGGCCGGUACAGCGCGCAGCAAGCCCGCGAGGGUAAGCAAAUCGCUUAAAACCGGUCUCAGUUCGGAUCGGAGGCUGCAACCCGCCUCCGUGAAGUCGGAAUCGCUAGUAAUCUCGGGUCAGCAUACCGAGGUGAAUACGUUCCCGGGCCUU